UUGAUAGCGUUUCGAAAACUUACAAGGUAGAGGUACUUACAAGAGAGAUAUCAAUUGGAUCUUCUAUUAAACUUUACUGAGUCAUGUUAAGCCGUCAUAAUUAUGCAAGAUAAAGUCUAUUCACGAUGUGCAUAUCUACGCGUAUCCAUACAAAUGGAAAAAUAUUAAUACGUUUGUUGCAUCUUGUAAGACCACAUCUCAAAACGUCAACUUUUACGGAAUCAACGCACGUAUCUCCCCAUUCGAGAAGACAUGUGGACCAAGGUAGCUGAGAUUGAAAGCUACCGAUCAAAUAAUAUAAGGUCAUUGAUAUCAAAGAACAAUAAGUUGGUAUUAAUGACAAUAGAAUGAUACCUGCGGACCAUAUUUUAACGGAUGAUCUGCUGGUGAAUUGGCCUAAUAUCAUUUCCAAAUAAUAAAAGGGCUUCCCAACGACGAAAAGGACGAUUAUGUAAGGUAUCAAAAAAACACCUCCGCCAUUUUCAUAUGCCGUGAAUGGAAAUCUCCAAACAUUGCCGAGACCAAUCGACAUGGCGAUACAGGACAUGAGAAAUUCGAUACUGUUGCCCCAUGUAGCUCUUUCAACACCUUUUUCUAUUAUUGUCUUUCAACAUCAUUAUUUUUAUUAUAAAAUGUCUUAACAAUUUUCGAUAAUAAGAAAUUACUGCUUAAUUAUUAUAAAAAAAGAAAAUGAAUUUUAAAAAAGAUAUAAAAUGAUUCAACUUUACCAGUUCUUCCAUUACUGGUUGAGUAACUUUUCUGUUAUCUUCGACGCCAUAAUUGAAAUUAAAAUUGUCGUCGUUCUAAAAAAAAUA